UUCCUUCUCUCUUCUUCUCCACCAACAUUGAAGCGUGUGAUCACCUUUUCUGGUCAGGGCUCAAGCCAUGUGGCCCUGUCCAACAAUAAACCAUCUUUCCAAGCAGCCUCCAUGUCUCCAGUGUCUUCUUCCCCACUUGGAGCUGAACCCAGAAGGACAUUUCUUUCAACAUACAUUGGCAGCUCAGGAAUGAAUCCUAAAAUACUCUCUGGAAAAACCAGGUCUUUACAACUUCCCAGAAGGCUAUAAGGGUGGGAGCAAUCUUUCCAUGGAAUGUAAAGAUAUACUUCAGAAUUCAAAUCUGUUGGUGAACUCAUAUCUUUGGAAGAAGAUUUGUCUUCAAGUAUUGGCCCACUGCUGGUUUCACUAUCUGCUUUUUGGCUCAGUGUAUCUGAGAAUGUAUCAUCCCUAAACAUUAAAAAAAACUUAUGUUGCAAAAUUAGGGUAUGUAGCUUUAAAACAAGAAAAGCAUGCUUCAAUUCAGCCUCUGUUUUAUAUCCCCUUAUUUCUAUUUAUCUUCUCUUCACUAACAAAUGUUUUGCGUGGGAUUCACAAGGAGAAGCAAUGGGAUCCAAAGACAAACUUUUAUAGUGUUACUAUCAUGCAAAUACUGCAAUGUGCAUACUUGCAUCAGAGAUUAAGAUACAUCAUGGCAGUGUUUGCAGGAUGAGAUCUUUGUGUUCGUGUCAUUUUGCUGUGAUUGUAGUUUGCUGUAGUUGCCACUGUUAUAGUUACUGUUUUCAGAGGCAUUUGUUACAUGCAUAAUCAAACAU